GACAGAGGUCCCGAGCGUUAGGCGGAAUCACUGGGCUUAAAGCGUGUGUAGGCGGAUCGUUAAGUGCCUUGUGAAAUCCCAUGGCUUAACCAUGGAACUGCUUGGCAUACUGGCGGUCUUGAGCCACUUAGGGGCAACCGGAACAAAUGGUGGAGCGGUGAAAUGCGUAGAUAUCAUUUGGAACGCCAAUGGUGAAAACAGCUCGCUGGGGGUUUGCAGACGCUGAGACACGAAAGCCAGGGGAGCGAACGGG
rnacentral:rRNA from 1 species